AUUGAACGCUGGCGGCAUGCUUUACACAUGCAAGUCGAACGGCAGCGCGGGGCAACCUGGCGGCGAGUGGCGAACGGGUGAGCAAUAUAUCGGAACGUACCCAAGAGUGGGGGAUAACGUAGCGAAAGUUACGCUAAUACCGCAUACGAUCCAAGGAUGAAAGCAGGGGACCGCAAGGCCUUGUGCUCCUGGAGCGGCCGAUAUCUGAUUAGCUAGUUGGUGAGGUAAAGGCUCACCAAGGCGACGAUCAGUAGCUGGUCUGAGAGGACGACCAGCCACACUAGAACUGAGACACGGUCCAGACUCCUACGGGAGGCAGCAGUGGGGAAUAUUGGACAAUGGGCGCAAGCCUGAUCCAGCCAUGCCGCGUGUGUGAAGAAGGCCUUCGGGUUGUAAAGCACUUUCAGUAGGGAGGAAGAGUUGAGUGUUAAUAGUACUCAGCUUUGACGUUACCUACAGAAGAAGCACCGGCUAACUCUGUGCCAGCAGCCGCCGUAACAC
rnacentral:rRNA from 1 species